rnacentral:rRNA from 1 species
CGUCUAUAUACGUAUAGCAUAUCAAUAAGCGGAGGAAAAGAAACUAACAAGGAUUCCCUUAGUAACGGCGAGUGAAGCGGGAAGAGCUCAAAUUUGAAAUCUUCAAGGUUUUACCUUGACGAAUUGUAGUUUAAAGAAGUGUUUUCUGUUAGAUGAGUAGCAAAAGUUCCUUGGAAUAGGACAUCAUAGAGGGUGAGAAUCCCGUAUUUGACCGUUAUUCAUUCUAGCUUUGUGAUACACUUUCAAAGAGUCGGAUUGUUUGGGAAUGCAGUCCAAAAUGGGUGGUAAAUUUCAUCUAAAGCUAAAUAUUGGCGAGAGACCGAUAGCGAACAAGUACCGUGAGGGAAAGAUGAAAAGAACUUUGAAAAGAGAGUUAAACAGUACGUGAAAUUGUCAAAAGGGAAGCGUUUGAUACCAGUGUUGUUUUUCCGAAAAUCAAUUACGAAUGUUUUAUUUUUGAGGAGUUAUGACUUCAUCGGCUUGCUCCUUUCUUUACGAAACUUUCUUAAUGCACUUUUCGGUUAACAAGUCAACAUCAAUUUCUUUUGUUGUAAAAGGGUAUGAGGAAGGUGGCUUUCUUUUCGGAGAAAGUGUUUAUAGCCUUGUGCCUCUACAAUCGGAGAGAUUGAGGUCUGCAGCGUAGAUCCUUCGGGGUUAGAUACGUUUGUGCUAAGUUGUAGCUUUUCAUAGACAACUUGUUGACUAUGUUUAGUCAUGCGGCUUACUCGCUUGUGCUAUUUUACCUACGCUUAGGAUGUUGACUGAUAUGUAGUCGUA